rnacentral:lncRNA from 1 species
GGCCGUACAGUGUGUGGGUGUGGGUGGGGGCUGCCGCGCACCGCUGGCGGGCACUGGGAACGCGUGACGCGCUAUGGUGCUGGUGUACGCUGUCCGGGAGCGCUAGAGAGGUCGUCACGUGACCCCAGCUGACCGGAGCCGACCCGAGGGCAGGUCAGCGCCUGCGACGCUGCGCCACCCGCCGCCCCCAUGUCGAAGAUUCCCGUGCGCGGCUCUCGGCCUGGCGCCAGCGGGCUGCCUCGCCUCUCCCGUCUGCCGCGACCGAGCGGCGCGCUGCCG